ACUUAUUCUUAAAAUUUAAAGCUAGAUUAUUAGUAGAUAUAUUCUUGAAAUUCAAAGAAUUUGGCGGUACUUUAAUCUUAUUAGAGGAACCUGUUUUAUAAACGAUAAACCACGAAAAAUCUUAUUUGUUUUAAAUAGUUUGUAUACCGUCAUUAUUAGAUAAUUUUGGAAAAAUUAAUUAUUAAAAUUAAUAAAUUUAAAUAUAUUAGAUCAAGGUGCAGCUUAUAGACAAGAGAAAAAUGGGUUACACUAAACUAGUUUAAACGGAGAUAGAUUUUCAUUUAAUCUAUUGAAGGCGGAUUUAAUUGUAUAUUUAGUUNAAUAUGCUAAAUAGAAAUUGGCUCUAAAGUAUGUACAUAUCGCCCGUC
rnacentral:rRNA from 1 species